AAUUCUCAACCUCACCAGUUUUGUUAUGAAGCUGUGUAAGGCUUGGAUGUGGGGGUUUGUGCAGGCUGCCUUUGCGCGGUCUGCUCCCCUAAAAUGUAUUAGCGAGUUCACUGAGCUCCGUCUAUUGGUGUGAUAAUUAUCUACGCCGUGGAUUGGACUUAGACUUGCUUCUAACCGUCCGAAAGGACAAUCUUAUGACA
rnacentral:misc_RNA from 1 species